AUUGAACGCUGGCGGCAGGCCUAACACAUGCAAGUCGAGCGGAUGAAGGGAGCUUGCUCCUGGAUUCAGCGGCGGACGGGUGAGUAAUGCCUAGGAAUCUGCCUGGUAGUGGGGGAUAACGUCCGGUAACGGGCGCUAAUACCGCAUACGUCCUGAGGGAGAAAGUGGGGGAUCUUCGGACCUCACGCUAUCAGAUGAGCCUAGGUCGGAUUAGCUAGUUGGUGGGGUAAAGGCCUACCAAGGCGACGAUCCGUAACUGGUCUGAGAGGGUGAUCAGUCACACUGGAACUGAGACACGGUCCAGACUCCUACGGGAGGCAGCAGUGGGGAAUAUUGUACGAUGGGCGAAAGCCUGAUCCAGCCAUGCCGCGUGUGUGAAGAAGGUCUUCGGAUUGUAAAGCACUUUAAGUUGGGAGGAAGGGGAGGAAGUUAAGACCUUGCUGUUUUGACGUUACCAGCAGAAUAAGCACCGGCUAACUUCGUG
rnacentral:rRNA from 1 species